UGUUAUCUCUGUUGCUUUUUAUCUUGACGCGGUAUGAAGUUCCUGGCUAGAUCUGGUGCUGGAGAUGGUCCACUUGUUGCUUUUGGUGGAUUGGAGGGUGUCGUCAUAAUACUUUCAAUGAUAACACUGCAGGUUCGGCCUUUGUCAAUUGUGUGGUCUGAAUGAUAAUGCUGAACAUGCAUUUUGUGGAUAGUAAAUUAUCUGCAACUUGUAAGGAGAUACACAGGCGGUCAUGAAGGAUCAGUUUCCUAUCUAAUGACCUUCAUGGCUUCUUCUGGUGAGGAGCAAAGUGAAUUGGCAAGUCUAAAUCUAGGUUGUGGCACAGUCCGUUUCGACCAUAAUGCAAGAAGAUGAUAAGACUCUGAAGAUGAAACUGAAAGUGGGACUUGCAGUGAAGAUGAAACUGAAAGUGGGACUUGCAGGGCAGAUUGUCACUGUGUGAACUUCUGUACAUUCAGUGAAGGUGGCAUGAGUUGUUAAGGCAGGCUGUUGAAGGAGAAAAGCGACAGCUUCUGGUGUGGUUGAUUCAUUGUUAGAUUUCAACUUAGGCAACUCCUUUGACACUGGCAGUGGUUGUUGAUUCUUUUACUGUAAGCGAUUAGCAAUGGCAACAAUGAUCCAAAUUCAAGUU